AUACGGAGGGUGCGAGCGUUAAUCGGAAUUACUGGGCGUAAAGCGUGCGUAGGCGGUUUGUUAAGUCAGAAGUGAAAGCCCUGGGCUCAACCUGGGAACGGCUUUUGAGACUGGCAGACUCGAGUUGAGUAGAGGGGAGUGGAAUUUCCGGUGUAGCGGUGAAAUGCGUAGAGAUCGGAAGGAACACCAGUGGCGAAGGCGACUCCCUGGACUCAAACUGACGCUGAGGUACGAAAGCGUGGGUAGCAAACAGGAUUAGAAACCCCAGUAGUCC
rnacentral:rRNA from 1 species